rnacentral:rRNA from 1 species
AUUGAACGCUAGCGGGAUGCCUUACACAUGCAAGUCGAACGGAGUGGCGAACGGGUGAGUAAUGUAUCGGAACGUGCCCAGUAGCGGGGGAUAACUACGCGAAAGCGUAGCUAAUACCGCAUACUAUUGGAGCGGCCGAUAUCGGCUUAGCUAGUGUGUGGGGUAACGGCUCACCAAGGCGACGAUCCGUAGCUGGUUUGAGAGGACGACCAGCCACACUGUGACUGAGAUACGGCCAAGCCUCCUACGGGUGGCAGCAGUGGGGAAUUUUGGACAAGGGGGGAAGCCCUGAUUCAGCCAUCCCGCGUGUGCGAGGAAGGCCUUCGGGUUGUAAAGCACUUUUGGCAGGAAAGCGGUACCUGCAGAAUAAGCACCGGCUAACUACGUGCCAGCCGCAGCGGUAAUAC